UUUACAAAAAUUAUAAGUAUCGAUAUCAAUAUGAAAUGUAUUAUCAAGUAAUCAAAGUGAGUGUUAAGGAUAUCUAGCAAACAUGCUCGAAAGGACGUGAAACACGAAAAGCAUAAGUCGUAUGGGCACUUUAUGCGAUCCUAAGGGAAACCUAAUAUACAGAUAACCCAGUGAACCAAAACAUUGUAGUAACUGGAGGAAAGGAAAUCAACCGAGACUCCUAAAGUAGCGGCGAGCGAACUAGGACUAGCCAAUAUUAGCCCGCUAUUCAAUACUUUGGAAUAGGUAGAUCAUAGAAGGUGAAAAUCCUGUGGAUUAGGGGCACUAAUAAUAACAAAUAGAGUAGAGCGGCUUAUAAGCUGUUUGAAUUUUUAAGGAGAACCUUCUUCUUGGCUAAGUAUAGCAUGUUUAGCGAUAGUGAAUAGUACUGUAAAGGAAACGAUGAAAAGUAAGUAGAUGACUGGUGAAAUAGAACUUGAAUUAACACUCAUAUAAGCAGUCAGAGUCCUCUUGGAUAAUGGCGUACCUUUUGCAUAAUGGGGCAGCAACUUAUUAUAGUAUGCAAGGCAUAACAAUAUGAUCUAACCUAAGCGAAAGCGACUACAAAAUAAUGUGGGUUAGUAUGCUAUAAUAGACCCGAAACAAUGUGAUCUUACCAUGGCCAGGCUAACUAAUGGGCCGAACAAUUGAAUGUUGCAUAAUUCUUUGAUGAGCUGUGGUAAGGCGUGAAAUGCGAAUCUAACAUUGUGAUAUCUGGCAUUCCGCGAAAUAUAUUUAAGUAUAGUAUCUCUUGAUUUGUAACUUUAACUGGUAUAGCACUGAUUUGCAUCAAUAAAAAAUAGGGGGCCGUGAAAAGCCUACCUUUGUAAGUUAAACUCAGAACAGUUUUAUAAUAAAAAGAGAUAAGCAGUCUAUUCAUGAUAAGGUGGAUGGACGAAAGGGAAACAGCCCUGAAUGUAUACUAAGGUUCCAAAACUAGAGUUAAGUGAAAGUAAGGAAGUGGGUAGCGUCGGAUUGGAUAUGUAAUAUCCGAUCCUAGCUUACGCUAGCAUAUGUGUAACAUAUGCGACGCGUUUCUAUGACAGCCAUGAAAUGUGCCUGGUAACAGCAAUUUUUUAAUGAGUACGUAACAGUACAGUGGUCUAAAUGAAACCUUGCGCCGAAGAUAUACGGAUCUACGUUCUAUACCUAAGUUACAUUUCCCUGACACAAGGGAUAGGUAGCGGAACAUUCAGUACGAGAGAAGAAUAGUCUUUGAUUAUUUGGACGUAACUGAAGUGAUAAUGCUGUCAUGAGUAACGAAAAGGAGAUUGAAUACUCCUCACCGAAUGCGUAAGGGUUUCUAAUUUUAUAUCAGAAUCUUAGAUUUUGAGGGAAAAGGUAGACUUCCUAGAGUUAACACGGCCUCUAAGGUUAAUAGGCAAAAGCCAUUGCUGAUGAGUUUAUUUGCAGAACAUCUGAUUUUUAUCAUCAGAGCUAGAAAAGAAUGCAUUAUAAUUACCGUACCCUAAACCGACACAGGUGCGCAGGUAGAGAAUACUAAGGUGAAGAGCUAAUAUGUGUGAAGGAACUCGGCAAAUUACGCCCGUAACUUCGAGGAUAAGGGUGCAAGAUAACGAUUGUCUUGGUCACAAAAUCGGGGGGUGCGACUCUUUACCAAAAACACAGAGAUUUGCUAAUACUAAUGUAGUUGUAUAAGUCUUGAAUUCUGCUCAGUGCUACUGAAUAAAAUGGGUGAUGCCCCCUCCAGGUCCUCCUACACUUAGGUGCGGGUCGGCCUUUCGGGUCCAGUCGCUUAUUGAACAGGUAGUAAACAGCGGUCUUAACUAUAAGGAUCCUCAGGUAGCGAAAUUCCUUGGCCACUAAUUAUGGUCCCGCAUGAAUGAAGUAACGAUGCCCCCGCUGUCUCCACACAUAGCUCAGUGAAAUUGAAUUAGCCGUGAAGAUGCGGUUUAUCCACAAAAAGACGGGAAGACCCUAUGCAGCUUUACUAUAAGCAGUUAUUGUUGUUGUUGAUCGUUAGGAGUAGAAACAGGGAAGUUAGUAACAAAAGUGAAAGACCUUGACUAACAAUUAAUGACGACUAAUCUUACUAAGAAACAGUGACUGCCUGGUAGUUUCUCUGGGACGGAGUUCUAUAAUAAAGUAUCAUAGAAGUCCAAAGGUUUACUUAAAUUGGAAUGAAACCAAUCAACCAUUCAGGUUAUUAACAAUAUGUUUUGUUAACGAAAAGUGCAAUAACACAAGUAAGCUUAACUGUAAGACCGACAAGUCAAACAGAUACGUAAGUAGGGUAUAGUGAUCCGGUAAUUCAUUAUGGAAUGAUUAUCGCUCAACGAAUAAAAGCUACGCUAGGGAUAACAGGCUGAUACGGGACGAGAGUUCAUAUUGUCUCCGGUGUUUGGCACCUCGAUGUCGACUCAUCACAUCCUCCCGCUGCAGCAGGUGGGAAGGCUUCGGCUGUUCGCCGAUUAAAGUGGUACGCGAGUUGGGUUCAAUACGACGUGAGUCAGUAUAGUCCCUAUCUUUUGUGGAGAAGAAUAGUAAAAGGGAGAAAUCUUCUCAGUACGAAAGGACUUGAAGGUACAUACUUCUGGUGCAUCUGUUCUAAGCAGAGUAGCUACGUAUGGAAAGGAUAAGAUCUGAAAGCAUCUUAAGAUCGAAGCCCACUUUUAGAUACUAACAAAUAAUAAAAAGAAGACUACUUUUAGGUUACAUGUUUAAGCAUUGCAAAAUGUUAAGCUAAGUAAUAUGGUUAAAGACACAAUUUUAACUGCUAACACAUUA
rnacentral:rRNA from 1 species